AAUAGUACACAAAAAUGACAAAACAAAAGAAAUCAUGGAUCUAUAGGUUUCUGGGUUCAGACUUCAUAGUAGUUAGAAAACUGAAUUAAACUGAAACCCCUUGAUAUCAGUGAUGCAAAGACUGUAGUAAAGAAAAAUGGACUGCAGUAAAGAAAACAGGCGGCUAUAGCUUUGUGUGUUCAGAGGAGUUUGUAGCAUGCAUUCAGAUAAUUCAUGUUUACUGCCAUGUGUUUGCAGGCUCCGUGUCUGAAUCGAAGUUGUGCGUCCGAGAGGGCUAUAAGAUUUUUUGCAGAGAAGACGGCUAAAAAUGUGAUCACACAUGUUCUUGGAACUACAUUCGACUCCUUGGGCGAGACUAUGACUUUUACAAUCUAUAUUCAUGGGAAUAAGGUUUUGGCAUUCGCUACGGGAAGAGCCAGCUAAAUGUGGAGAGGGUAAAAUGCAUGCAAGAAAUAGUCUGUGUCUACUCGGGGAGACCACUACUGAGGGCGAACCUUGCGGUGGAGAGGCAUACCAGCAAGAUAUACACGACGACUAUGUUUGAGCAUUUUGGACACAUUUUGUAUGAGUGUGGGGCUUAUCAGGUUGAAGAGAUUGAAAAACAUAAGACAUAGAUCGUGAUCUAUAGUGAAGCAGAGAAAAGAGAGAAGUGCUCGAAAAUUUCAUACAAGGUUACAAACUAACUUACAAUGCUAGAUGGAGGCAAUGAAUUCGAAUGCGAGUUUGGGCAAUUUGCACACAUGGGCCUGCUGUGCAACCAUGUACUGAAGAUGCUUGAAGACGUAAAAAAAAUGCAAUUUCAAGGUCAUGCAGAACAUUACCACAAGCUAACAUUUACUAUAUAGACAUGGUUAAUUUCUAGAAAACUGUUGACAGGAAAAUCUAGAUGGUCGGCCAGCACAAACUUUACCAUAUGUUUAUUUGUAUGAGUUAUGAUCUAUAAUUCUCAUUUCAUGUUACAAAAAAUAUUUGCUGGAAUUACUAAUUUUGCUAUCUUGGCUUUUGUGUUGGCGGUGAGUUGUUAGAUUUGUCAAUGAGGUUUUACCACAGACAUUCAAUUUGAUUGCUUUCAUCAAAUUGCUCUAAGAUUUUGUAUAAAAUAC